UCGUGCCCACAGUGACCCCGUCUGCAAAUGUAGUUCCUUGCCCUACUCGCACUGGGGAGCAGGACGCAGAGCCGUGCAACUCACAGGUGCCAAGCUCAGGACUCCCUCCUGGGUCUGCCUGGGCUGGGCUGUGCUUGUUGCCCCUGUGGCCCACGCAUGUGCACCUUCCACCUGAAAGCCAGGAUCUUCAGGACGCUCCCCGAGGAGGUCGUUGUCUGGCACAAUGAUUUGUCUCUUCCUGAAAAGGUGACAGAGUUACACUGGAGAGAGCAGCAUCCAGGUGCGGCAGGGACAGGCCUGGGGCUCGCGGGCAGGGACUCUGUGUCCUGCCGGGGUCCCACACUGCACCUGCUUGUCAGAGGCACUCAGUCAAUCUUUGCUGAUGAAGGAUGAGAGGACAGAGGACGUGAUGCUUGCUGCUGCAUUGCCUGCAGUCCUGGGAACCAACCCGUGUGCGGACAGGA
rnacentral:lncRNA from 10 species